CUUAAACGUGGACGCGCGUGGACGUUUCGCUUGUCAUCAAGCCAGGCAGCGUGACGGCUGUGGCCACGGCCCUACACGUGUGGGGAGUCCGAGUCACCUGGACGGGGCUUGGAGUCCAGGGUCUGUGCCAUCAUGGCACUAGCCUAACCCGGGGCCGAGCGCCUGUGGGUUUUGGCAUCUGUGGGUCCUGGAGCCGGUCCCGGGUACCCAGGAUGCAGGGGGCCUGCGGGGGUUGCUCGAGUCUGGGACGGUCGGCCGAUUGCUGCCAAGAGACCUGGGUGGAAGGAGGGUGCCAUGCCUUGGCCCUGGGCAAGGACACAAUGCUUUGGUCUGGGCAGAGACCAGAGUCCAUGGGGGCCAGAGGGGACAUGAGGCUGAGGACUGGCCAGAGGCCCCCUGGGCUCCUGGCACCUGGUGCUGGAUGGAACCCACUGAGGUCACUGCACCUAAAUCUGCCAAGAACACAGAGCCACAGCUUUCCCGGGUGCUCCCAGAGCAAACGAGGCUCUGACAAUCAUUCUUGCCCAUUCUAGAAUAUUCCUAACGACACCCUGACCUGCUCGCUAAAAAGUGAUCCCUCAUCUGCUGGGCAUGGUGGUGCACACCUGUCCCAGCAGCUCGGGAGGCUGAGGCAGGAGGAUUGAGAGGUCAAAGCCAGCCUCAGCUAUGGUGAGGUGCUGAGCAACUCAGUGGGACCCUGACUCUAAAUAAAACACAGAAUAGAGCUGGGGUGUGGCUCGGUGGUCGAGGGCCCCUGAGCUCAAUCCCCAGUACUUAAAAAACAAAAAGUGAUCCCUCAUCUGCCCCAACUGCCAACUCUGGGCCUUAAGUCCCCCUGUCCCCCUCUGGGUGCCAGGCGUGGAUGCUGCGCCCCUCAGAGGGGCUGGGCCGUGGGCGAGGGUGGAGCAGGCCAGGCAGGCAGCCCCAGCCCCGGCUCUCCACCCAGAGGCUGGCAGGCCUCCCACACAGCCAUUCCCCCUCAGCCCUCAGGCCCCGCACCGGGAAAAACGGUAGAACAACCGCCCAACGGGGAGGCUGGGCACGGCCCCAAGACCCAGCUGGAGGGGAGAGGCCAGAGCCGCCGCAGAGCCCACCACUGAGGGAGGACAAGGUCCUGCGCCCCUCGAAAGGCCAGAAGCUGGAGGAAGGGUUCUGAGCGCGCAUGGGAGUGUGUGUGAGAGUGAGUGAGUGUGUGUGUGUGAGUGUGAGUGUGUGUGCGAGAGUAUGAGAGUGUGUGUGUGUGAGUGUGUGUAUGUGAGUGUGUAUGUGCGUGUGUGUGUAUGCAUAUGUGUGCGUGCAUGUGUGAGUGUGCGUGGUGCUGCAUGGCCUCGUGCACACGGGGCAGGCGUUCUACGCCUGAGCCACACCCCUGGUCUGAGAUUUUGAACGUUUUUACCCCAAAGAAUCAAGAAAUGUUUGGCAAGAAAGACGCGGCCUUCCGGGCACUGCGCACUGCGUCCGCGAGUUGAAACCUCACCAGCUGUCCCAGAAAUACGCGCAACUUUUGUUUUAUGUAAUACUUUGAAUUUUUUUUUCAUUGAAAAUUCUUGCCAUGUUUAGAAUUUUUUUUUCCCCAGAAAAUUCCAGAACUUGAGUGCUGGCUCGGAGCACUGGAGGACGAAGUCACAGACGGCCUUGCCCCUAGAGGUAAGUGUCCCCCAGCGAGGACGUCCGUCUAUCGAGGGCUGCAGAUGUUCCCAGCAGGUACCACUCAGGUCCGGGCGCUGCCGAGUGGACCUGGGCAGGCCCCGCAGGCAGCUGGACAAGAGCUUGUCCGUGGCUUGGAGCAGGGCGCCUCUGGCUACGCCACGUGGGUGCAUGGAACUUGGGGUCUCCACACGAGUAGAUUCAGGGUGACGUCCUUGGAUGUGGGGUGCUUCCUCCAAAGGCCUCGCCUCUGCUUGGACGGACGGACAGACGGCUCCAGAGCUGCCUGUGGGCAGCCUCCUGAGGCACCGGAAGGUGGCUGGAGCGCCCCUCCUGCCCGCCCUGCAGCCCCUCUCCUCCGGGUUGGUCCACUCCACCGGGUUCGGCCCUGGGAACCCUCGCAGACGAGAUUUUUCUGGAACUGGAGAUUCUUUUCAAAUUCCCUUCCAGGCUGACCACAGCGGUCCUCGGGAUGGUUCCUUCCGUCGGGGUUCACAGAGCGAGCUCCUGGGCCUCGGGGAGCCUGCAGUGUCCUCGGACCCGGUGUUUUAUUCCCCUGUGGGCAAUACCCACUCAUCUAUUGAGCGCCGACUACCUGCCAGGCACCAUCUUGGAUUGGGGUUCAGCAGUGAUCAAAGCAAAAGUUUCUUGCCUUUUCGGGGUUCCCUGUGGUGGGAGAUGAGUGCAGUUGGUGGGAGCCUGUGGCGUUUGGCACACACAUGGUCUGAGAGGCACCAAGGGUCUACGUGAUGGAGGCUUGUCCUGGUGUGCGAGGCACGGUGGUGGGAUCCGGGGAGGCCCUCAGGUCAGGGUUGCUCUUGGAAGGGAUUAAGGUCCUUCCUUGGGGAGGAUGUCAGAUAUUCAGGUCUCGGGAGACGUCGUCAUAAGCCCUGCUGCUGAGCCGGGCCCACCAGCACCCUGGCUUCCUGCUUUGAGAUGAUGCAACUUGUGACAGUCACAGACGCUCACUCCACUGCUGUCCACCAUGAGGUGAUGCAGCAAAGGAGGGCUCUGGCCAGAGCCUGCACCAUGCUGUUUGGACAUAAGCCUCCAAAACUACGGGCUAAACAAAACCUCUUUUCUUUAUAAAGCACCCAGCCUCAGGUACUUUGUUGUAGAAACACAGAAUGGACUAAGGCAGCAUAUGGGAGGCUUUGAGUAUCUGACAGCCGCUGGAGCAGCACCACGAACUUACUGCCUGAACACAUCAGGCUGUCCCCUUACCAUUCUAGAGGACGGGAGCAAUUCCAAGGUCAUUUUCACUGGGCAAACCCAGGGCUGGCCUCUCCUGAGGCUCCAGGGAGAGUCCGUGUCCUGCUCUCCAGCUCCUAGGGGCCCCACAGCCUGUCCCUUCCACGCUGAUGUCCCCUGUUCCUGUGCGAGAUCUCUCUCUGCCUCCUCUUAGAGGGACACACGGUGAUCUUCAGGGCUCACGGGGUAGCCCAUGACCACAGCUCCCCGCCCCCCGGCCUUAACUGAAACGCAGGCAACACAGCCGCGGAAGGGAGACUCUCAGGUUCCAAGGACUAGGACACCGCGUCCUGGGGGCUUUCUCCACCUUCACGCAGGAAGGAAACCAUUCAGGAAUGGGGAGGGGCAAGGAGGGGCCAGGGGGUCAUCUCUGAGGAGUGGCCUGAGGCCUGAAAGAGGCAGGAGGCAGUCUCCAGGAACAGCAUGCCCAGCUGAGGAACAGCAGGGGCAAAGUCUAAAGGUAAGAGUCAGCCGGUCAGGGAGCAGGACGGGAGGAAGCUGCUGGGCUGAGGGUGUGAGGAGGCUGGGGGGACACCAGGCCAAGAACACAGAGGCAGGACCCUGGACUUUCAGAGGGAUGGGCAUGUGCCCAGGUGGGUUUAAGCAGGGGUGGGCCGGGUGCCUCUGGCAGCUACAGGUAAAAGUACACCACGGCUUGCGGUCAUUCAGUGCGGGUUGCAAGGCUGUAAUCUCUGAGAUGGCUCUGGAUUUGUGUGCGUGUGGCCCUGGGGUCGGACCCAGGGACAUGCCACCACUCAGUGCACCCCAGCCCUUUCUAUUUUAUUUUGAGACAGGCUUUGCUGCAUUGCCCA
rnacentral:lncRNA from 1 species